AUACGGAGGGUGCGAGCGUUAAUCGGAAUUACUGGGCGUAAAGCGUACGUAGGCGGUUGGUUAAGUUAGAUGUGAAAGCCCCGGGCUUAACCUGGGAACUGCCUUUAAAACUGGCGAACUAGAGUUGAGUAGAGGGGAGUGGAAUUUCAGGUGUAGCGGUGAAAUGCGUAGAGAUCUGAAGGAACACCAGUGGCGAAGGCGACUCCCUGGACUCGAACUGACGCUGAGGUACGAAAGCGUGGGUAGCAAACGGAAUUAGAAACCCCAGUAGUCC
rnacentral:rRNA from 1 species